UACGUAGGGAGCAAGCGUUGUCCGGAAUCAUUGGGCGUAAAGCGCGCGUAGGCGGCCCUGUAAGUCCGCUGUGAAAGUCAAAGGCUCAACCUUUGAAAGCCGGUGGAUACUGCGAGGGCUAGAGUCCGGAAGAGGCGAGUGGAAUUCCUGGUGGUAGCGGUGGAAUGCGCAGAUAUCAGGAGGAACACCAAUAGCGAAGGCAGCUCGCUGGGACGG
rnacentral:rRNA from 1 species